GAUGAACGCUGACAGAAUGCUUAACACAUGCAAGUCUACUUGAUUCUACUUCGGUAAUUGAUGGUGGCGGACGGGUGAGUAACGCGUAAAGAAUCUGCCCUUUAGUUUGGGAUAACCUUUGGAAACGAAGGCUAAUACCGGAUAUUAUGGAGACGUCGCAUGGCGACUCCAUGAAAGCUAUAUGCGCUAGAGGAGGACUUUGCGUCCCAUUAGUUAGUUGGUGAGGUAAUGGCUCACCAAGACCGCGAUGGGUAGCCGGCCUGAGAGGGUGAUCGGCCACAAGGGAACUGAGACACGGUCCUUACUCCUACGGGAGGCAGCAGUGGGGAAUAUUGGACAAUGGGCCACAAGCCUGAUCCAGCAAUUCUGUGUGCACGAUGAAGGUCUUCGGAUUGUAAAGUGCUUUCAGUAGGGAAGAAAAAAGUGACGGUACCUACAGAAGAAGCGACGGCUAAAUAUGUGCCAGCAGCCGCAGUAACAC
rnacentral:rRNA from 1 species